CUGGCGGCGUGCUUAACACAUGCAAGUCGUACGCUGAAGCCCGCGCUUGCGUGGGUGGAUGAGUGGCGAACGGGUGAGUAACACGUGGGUAAUCUGCCUUGUACUCUGGGAUAAGCCUGGGAAACUGGGUCUAAUACCGGAUAGGACCAUUCCUCGCAUGGGGGGUGGUGGAAAGCUCCGGCGGUAUGAGUUGAGCCCGCGGCCUAUCAGCUUGUUGGUGGGGUGAUGGCCUACCAAGGCGGUGACGGGUAGCCGGCCUGAGAGGGCGACCGGCCACACUGGGACUGAGACACGGCCCAGACUCCUACGGGAGGCAGCAGUGGGGAAUAUUGCACAAUGGGCGCAAGCCUGAAUGCAGCGACGCCGCGUGAGGGAUGACGGCCUUCGGGUUGUAAACCUCUUUCGCCAGGGACGAAGGGUGAUACUGACGGUACCUGGAGAAGAAGCACCGGCUAACUACGUGCCAGCCGCCGC
rnacentral:rRNA from 1 species